GAUGAAGAACGCAGCGAAAUGCGAUAAGUAAUGUGAAUUGCAGAAUUCAGUGAAUCAUCGAAUCUUUGAACGCACCUUGCGCCCUUUGGCUAUUCCGAAGGGCAUGCCUGUUUGAGUAUCGUGAACACCUCAACUCUCAUGGUUUGCCAUGAUGAGCUUGGACUUUGGGGGUUUUGCUGGCCUUUGGUCGGCUCCUCUCAAACGGAUCAGCUUUCCAGUGUUUGGUGGCGUCACGGGUGUGAUAACUAUCUACGCUUGUGGUUUUCCACCAGGGUAACCUUCAGCAGUGGAGGUUCACUGGAGCUUACAAAUGUCUCUCCUCUGUGAGGACAGCCCUUUGAAUGUUUGAUCUCAAAUCAGGUAGGACUACCCGCUGAACUUAAGCAUAUCAAUAAGCGGAGGA
rnacentral:misc_RNA from 1 species